rnacentral:rRNA from 1 species
UAGGGAAUCUUCCGCAAUGGGCGAAAGCCUGACGGAGCAACGCCGCGUGAGUGAUGAAGGUCUUCGGAUUGUAAAACUCUGUUAUUAGGGAAGAACAUAUGUGUAAGUAACUGUGCACAUCUUGACGGUACCUAAUCAGAAAGCCACGGCUAACUACGUGCCAGCAGCCGCGGUAAUACGUAGGUGGCAAGCGUUAUCCGGAAUUAUUGGGCGUAAAGCGCGCGUAGGCGGUUUUUUAAGUCUGAUGUGAAAGCCCACGGCUCAACCGUGGAGGGUCAUUGGAAACUGGAAAACUUGAGUGCAGAAGAGGAAAGUGGAAUUCCAUGUGUAGCGGUGAAAUGCGCAGAGAUAUGGAGGAACACCAGUGGCGAAGGCGACUUUCUGGUCUGUAACUGACGCUGAUGUGCGAAAGCGUGGGGAUCAAACAGGAUUAGAUACCCUGGUAGUCCACGCCGUAAACGAUGAGUGCUAAGUGUUAGGGGGUUUCCGCCCCUUAGUGCUGCAGCUAACGCAUUAAGCACUCCGCCUGGGGAGUACGACCGCAAGGUUG